AGCGAACGCUGGCGGCAGGCUUAACACAUGCAAGUCGAGCGGGCACUUUCGGGUGUCAGCGGCGGACGGGUGAGUAACGCGUGGGAACGUGCCCUCUGGUUCGGAAUAACUCAGGGAAACUUGAGCUAAUACCGGAUACGCCCUUUUGGGGAAAGGCUUGCUGCCGGAGGAUCGGCCCGCGUCUGAUUAGCUAGUUGGGGAGGUAACGGCUCACCCAGGCGGCGAUCAGUAGCUGGUCUGAGAGGAUGAUCAGCCACACUGGGACUUAGACACGGCCCAGACUCCUACGGGAGGCAGCAGUGGGGAAUAUUGGACAAUGGGCGCAAGCCUGAUCCAGCCAUGCCGCGUGAGUGAUGAAGGCCUUAGGGUUGUAAAGCUCUUUUAUCCGGGACGAUAAUGACGGUACCGGAGGAAUAAGCCCCGGCUAACUUCGUG
rnacentral:rRNA from 1 species